rnacentral:rRNA from 1 species
UGAGGAAUCUUCCACAAUGGGCGAAAGCCUGAUGGAGCAACGCCGCGUGCAGGAUGAAGGCCUUCGGGUCGUAAACUGCUUUUAUAAGUGAAGAAUAUGACGGUAACUUAUGAAUAAGCACCGGCUAACUACGUGCCAGCAGCCGCGGUCAUACGUAGGGUGCAAGCAUUAUCCGGAGUGACUGGGCGUAAAGAGUUGCGUAGGUGGACAAGUUAGCGAAUAGUGAAAUCUGGUGGCUCAACCACACAGACUAUUAUUCGAACUGCUUGUCUCGAGAGUAGCAGAGGUAACUGGAAUUUCUAGUGUAGGAGUGAAAUCCGUAGAUAUUAGAAGGAACACCAAUGGCGUAGGCAGGUUACUGGGCUAUUUCUGACACUAAGGCACGAAAGCGUGGGGAGCGAACCGG